rnacentral:tRNA from 1 species
GCCUUCGUGGUGUAGUGGUCAGUACGCUCGACGUGUAACCAAGAGGUCCGUGGUUCGAUUCCCGGCGAAGGGU